AUACGUAGGGUGCAAGCGUUAAUCGGAAUUACUGGGCGUAAAGCGUGCGCAGGCGGUUUUGUAAGACAGAGGUGAAAUCCCCGGGCUCAACCUGGGGACUGCCUUUGUGACUGCAAGGCUAGAGUACGGCAGAGGGGGGUGGAAUUCCGCGUGUAGCAGGGAAAUGCGUAGAUAUGCGGAGGAACACCGAUGGCGAAGGCAAUCCCCUGGGCCUGUACUAACGCUCAUGCACGAAAGCGUGGGGAGCAAACAGGAUUAGAUACCCUGGUAGUCCACGCCCUAAACGAUGUCAACUGGUUGUUGGGUCUUCAUUGACUCAGUAACGAAGCUAACGCGUGAAGUUGACCGCCUGGGGAGUACGGCCGCAAGGUUGAAACUCAAAUGAAUUGACGGGG
rnacentral:rRNA from 1 species